GCUGGUGCUUGGGAAGCACCUCAGAGCUCCCACGCUGAGGAGACAGUGGUGAAGUUUGCAGUCCCGUCUUCCUUCUCCUGGGCAUCUCCAUCAGAGAGCAAUGCUUUCUUCCAUCAGAAGAAAAUGCUUAUUUUCUCAGACUUCCUUGUAGCACAGAGUGUCACAUGACACGGUUUCAGUCAGGGAAGUCAAAGCUAAAGAAUUCUGAAAACCUUUGGGAAAUGUUUUGGUUUCUUCAAUGCAGCCAGAAGGCCUGAAGCUGUAGGGAUACAAGGCAAUAUGUAGGGGCUGGCAUUAUGCUGUGGUGGGUGAAGUCACCAGCUGUGGAGCCAGCAUCGCACAUGGGUACCAGCUCAAGGCCAGCUCUCUGCAAAUGGCCUAGAAAAAGUGGCAAGAGAUGGACCAACUAUUUGGGCCCUGCAUGUAUUUGGGAGACCUGGAUGAAGCUCCUGGCUCAUGUUUUCUAGUUUCAGACUGGUCAAGCCCUGCCUUAUGUGGUCAUUUGGGAAGUGAACCAACAGGUGGAAGAUCUCUCUCUCUUUUGUACUCACUCUGU